rnacentral:tRNA from 1 species
GGAGAGGUGGCGGAGCGGUCGAACGUGCCAGUUUCGAAAACUGGUGAAGGGCAACCUUCCGGGGGUUCAAAUCCCCCCUUCUCCG